GAUGAACGCUGGCGGCGUGCCUAAUACAUGCAAGUCGAGCGAACAGACGAGGAGCUUGCUCCUCUGACGUUAGCGGCGGACGGGUGAGUAACACGUGGAUAACCUACCUAUAAGACUGGGAUAACUUCGGGAAACCGGAGCUAAUACCGGAUAACAUGUUGAACCGCAUGGUUCAACAGUGAAAGACGGUCUUGCUGUCACUUAUAGAUGGAUCCGCGCCGCAUUAGCUAGUUGGUAAGGUAACGGCUUACCAAGGCAACGAUGCGUAGCCGACCUGAGAGGGUGAUCGGCCACACUGGAACUGAGACACGGUCCAGACUCCUACGGGAGGCAGCAGUAGGGAAUCUUCCGCAAUGGGCGAAAGCCUGACGGAGCAACGCCGCGUGAGUGAUGAAGGUCUUCGGAUCGUAAAACUCUGUUAUUAGGGAAGAACAAAUGCGUAAGUAACUAUGCACGUCUUGACGGUACCUAAUCAGAAAGCCACGGCUAACUACGUG
rnacentral:rRNA from 1 species